UCCUGGUUAACUCUGUCGGUAGAGCGGUCCACUGGAAAUGGAGACGUCCCUGGUUCCAUACCAGAACCAGGCG
rnacentral:tRNA from 1 species